GGACUGGAUCUAAGGCCUCCUGCAUGGGCAUUCCUAAUGAAGUAUAUAUAUCCCCUGUUCUAUUUUUAAGUUGCCCAGCUGAGCCUUAAAUACACUCUGUAGUCCAAGCUGGACUGGAACUUCUAAUCCUUCUGCCUCAGCCUCCCAAGUAGCUAGGAUUAUAGGCCUGCAAUUGCAGGACCGCCCUCCUCAGUACUCUGAAAAGCAGUUUCUAACCAAGAUUCCACAUUCAUGAGAUUUUCCUUGUAAAAUCUUAUACCACUUAACUUUCACACUCUUAAAAAAACUGGCUAAUGAAAUUCAAAGACUUAAAAAAGAAUUCCACACAGGUAAUGAGGAAAGGGUUAUGUUCUGAGGUUGAGGUAGACGUGGCCUGCUAGAUUGUAGUCGCAAUGUUUCUGCUUGAGAGAUUUCAUUUUCAUUCUCCUGAGAUAUUGUGCCAUAGCUCAUGCCUUUACUGAAAGAUAAGACACCCUUGCCUUUUGGUUAGCAGCAUGUUCCUCCAGGAUGAAAAUCCAGGGCAGCUGAAGACUUGUUUUCAAAUGUUGUCUAACCGGCUUAACUAGUGGUAGGAGUUUUAUCUAUGUGGUGUGAGGCAGUUACAAAAAUUCAUAAAUGCCUCAUUCUAUAUAAUGGACCUUUAAGCAGUGUUUGAAAUCUUUCAAACACUUGUCCUUCAGUAGAAAAACAAAACUCAUCUCAAGUUUCUUAUCAAUUUGUAAAGCUAAAGUAUUAUUUUACUAUGUAAAUCAUUGUGCCUUAAUUUGCCUAUUUUAUUAGCUUAAUAUUUUCAAAUUCCUUUGAAGCAAUAAUGUUUACUCAAUUUUGUUUAAGUAAUACAUUAGAAUGAAUCAGAUUGUUCCUAUUAUAUUUUUAUAGGAGAAAAUGAAAAUAUAUGAGUUACACAGUCAAAACGAAUGAACAUGAGAGCCUUGUUAAGGUGCUAAGAAAACCUCAGGAGAAAAACACAGCCAUCUGAGUGUGCUCAGCUUCAUCAUAGGACACCUGCUUUGCAUUCUCAGCCUCUCCAAUGUCAGGGAGAUACUGCCAUAAUUGACUUUGAUCCCCCUGAAACUGUAAGCCCAAAAGUGAGUUCUUUCUUCCAUAAAUUGCUUUUGAGCAUUGUGUUUUAUCACAGCAACAGCUAAGCAACUAAUACAGAAGUUGGUACUAGAGUGGGCCAAAGCUGUGUAGCACUUGACUGUGUUGCUUUGAAGAGGAAGGUGGGAGACUGUGGAGAUCUGGACUAGAACACCAUCUGAAUACUUUUGGCAGAACUAAAAAGGUAACCCUAAGGGAAGCCUGAAAGAUAACCAUACUGAGAGCAAUGAGGACUGUGGAGACCCAGAGCAAAAGGUUUCAGAGAGGAACACGACCAGCCAUUGGGCUCCAAGCCCUUGUGAUAUUUGGGCAAAGAAUCUAAUGGCCCUAGGCUUUGAUCCUAAGAACUUACCUAAGGGGAAAUUUUUAAAGUAACAGAAUAAUCUCUAUAGUGAAUAAAAUUUCAAGACCACAUAACAUUGAGUCUGUGGCAUGGUUUUUAUUGAUAAUGCUUCGGAUCUAUGAUGGAAAAGAGACAGAAAGAAAAAAAUGGACAUUUUGGUGAGAUAAGGAGCAUUGGGAAUCUUACUGCCCACAUUGAAAUGGAGGCUAUAAUUGCUCAGGAGUCAAGCACCAUUAAGGAGAGACCUGCUCAACACUGGAAUGUGGUUAACACUCUGCCCAGCUAAGCCUCUAGAUUCUGAAAGGAAAAAGACUAAGAGGUGGCUAGCCAAACUUAGCAGAUGUCUCAAUAUGAUGUUAUCUUAGAUGCAUGAAGGAGACCAAGCCCGUUCAUAGACUCUUCUUCCUGGGUCUCAGGGAGUUGCUGGGGCCAAGAAAUGUGUGGAAGAGGGGUCACUACAUGAAGACUUUGAGAAGGCAAGAGGCUCUAAGAAAGCAUUGCAGGAAACUGUGAAAGUAAAGCUCUUGCAGUAAGAUCUCAAAUUUUUGGUGAUUCAGCAGCCACGGCUUACCUGCUGUGACAAGUUAUGUUUUAAUUACUGUGCCUAGAGAGAUCCAUGAAACAAAAAAUAUCUCCCUUCCCUAGGGACAGAUACUUCAAAAGUGCUGGAGGCUGUUGUUUAAGGAAGAUAACAAGCCACAUGUUUUCGCACUCAUAAACAAGUUUGUUUGACCCAACUGCACUGGCUGUCUCUAUCACCGGUAGGCAGAGGUAAGGAAACAGGAAAUAUGUCAAGAUAUAUGCUUGUCCUUCAUUGGAUAUUGAUUGGCCUUGUGGGGUUGCCUUUUUAAGCCUCUGCAAGAUGUGAUUCAUCACCAAUUUCUGGGAACCUGGGAAUGAACCGGGUCAGAGUCCAUCCUCCUGGCCAGCAUCUAAUCAACGAUUGCUUCAUAUUUGACUCAAAGAUUGUGGUAGUGGUCUUAUUCCCAACUGGUGAGAUUAACACUGCCAAAGAGAACUGCAUACAGAGGCAGAACCAGCCCAGGAGAGAUAUGUAUGUCGCAGGCAGCAAAGGUGGAGGAGUAGAGGUAUCUAACCCCCUUGACAUCAGAUGUGAAACUACAGAUUUGGUCUUGGCCCUGUUGAGUUCUGAUCUUACUUUGGCAUAGCAUUCCCAUUAGGAAGAUUUGUGGAUAUUAUAUUCUGGGGUAUUACACAUUGAACAUAUGUAAUUUGUGUUUUGAUCUUACAGUGGUUACAAUUAAGAGAGUUCCUUGAGCCUCAGAAGAGACUUUGGGCUUUUGAGUUUUAUAGAAUAUUGACGCUGUGAGAAACAAUGAGGAGUUUUGAAAUCAGAUUAAAGAAAUUUUGCAUUAAGAUACAGUUAUGAGCUUAUGGAAGCAGGGGAGUGCAAUGUAGUGUUUUAAAUGAGAAAUGUUUCCAUUAACCUGGGAAUUAGAGCACACGGGUCCUCAGUAGGUAGCUUUGUUUCAGAGAGGUUUAGAAGGUAUGGUCUUGUUGGAGGACAUGUGUACUGGUAACAAGAGUCACCUGCUUUGGUGCCUGUGUGGAGCCCUGGCUGUCCUGGAACAUGCUCUGUAGACCAGGCUGGCCUCGAACUCUGCCUUGAGAUCCACCUGCUUCUGCAUCCGAAGUUCUGGGAUUACAGGUGUGCACCACCACUGCCUGGUGUGCCUUUGGAAUUUUAUAGGAUGAACUCACACAGUUUCAGAACCAAGUGUCGGCAGCAAACCAACAAAACCGCAUGUGAGCGCUGUGCCUUAUACGUGGUCAUAAAGAUAGAAACUGACAGAACACCAUUCUGGAUGCUAGAGAGACUAAGAUCUAAGUGACAGCUGAUUCUGGGCUUCGCAUUCCCAUGUAGCAAACUGCAGCCUAACUUAAGAAUACAUUCUCAUAACAAAUAGCUGAAUGGCAGCCAGUCUCAGCAGCUGUAGGUCAGCCAACAAUAGGUUCACCAGGCUAUUUCCCUAUGAUGCAAAUAGCUCGUCACACCAUGCUCACAAAAGGCAAAGCUGAGCUGUGAUUAAUCAAGGGACUUUUUUUUUCUUUGUCUUUCUAUAGUUAAUGUCUGCCCACACUAGGGUGUACGGCUCUCUGGUCCUCUGAACCUCUAGGGACUCACUAAUGAAUCUUGUUCAAAUAAACUGCUGGGUUUAAUUUAAUUUUUUUUCUUAUAACAAGUUUCCUAUAUAGGUUUGUUUAUUCUCUUUAUAUCCUUAUAGCAGAAAGUUAUGUCAUAUCUUUUAUAUGGGCAAUAAUUCCAUUUCAUAGGAACUCCACCCUAAUGCCAUAAUCACUUUCGAAAAGCCCCACACCCACAUAUUAUUACAUUUGUGAUUAGGAUUCAACUUAUGAGGUGACCAAGGGUGAGGAGUGCAUAUUUAGACCAUGGCUAGUAUUUCAUCUUUGCUCACACACCAGGAAACAUCAGGCAGGAUUCAAACUCUGUACUUUAUAUUCAUCUUUCUUACCCUUAGACCCCUCUUCCUGAGAUAUCUUUGAAUUUCACACUAGUUCUCCAGUUUGACAAAACCUGCAUUAUUUCUGGGUUUCCAUUUCAGUUUUGUUCAUAUAGAUGAUUGUGAAUCCCCCCCCCCCCGCCCACAAAUAAACACUGCUCCUCUAUUAC
ensembl:processed_transcript Oxct1as cDNA Sequence BC037032